rnacentral:rRNA from 1 species
UACGGAGGGUGCAAGCGUUAUCCGGAUUCACUGGGUUUAAAGGGUGCGUAGGCGGGCAGGUAAGUCAGUGGUGAAAUCUUUGGGCUUAACCCGAAAACUGCCAUUGAUACUAUCUGUCUUGAAUAUUGUGGAGGUGAGCGGAAUAUGUCAUGUAGCGGUGAAAUGCUUAGAUAUGACAUAGAACACCCAUUGCGAAGGCAGCUCACUACGCAUAUAUUGACGCUGAUGCACGAAAGCGUGGGGAGCGAACAGG